rnacentral:rRNA from 1 species
UGGCGGACGGGUGAGUAACGCGUGGAAAACCUGCCGUAUACUGGGGGAUAACACUUAGAAAUAGGUGCUAAUACCGCAUAAGCGCACAGCUUCGCAUGAAGCGGCGUGAAAAACUCUGGUGGUAUACGAUGGUUCCGCGUCUGAUUAGCCAGUUGGUGGGGUAAUGGCCUACCAAGGCAACGAUCAGUAGCCGGCCUGAGAGGGUGAACGGCUACAUUGGGACUGAGACACGGCCCAAACUCCUACGGAAGGCAGCAG